rnacentral:rRNA from 1 species
GUGGGGAAUAUUGGACAAUGGGCGAAAGCCUGAUCCAGCAAUGCCGCGUGAGUGAAGAAGGCCUUAGGGUUGUAAAGCUCUUUUACCCGGGAUGAUAAUGACAGUACCGGGAGAAUAAGCUCCGGCUAACUCCGUGCCAGCAGCCGCGGUAAUACGGAGGGAGCUAGCGUUGUUCGGAAUCACUGGGCGUAAAGCGCACGUAGGCGGCUUUGUAAGUUAGAGGUGAAAGCCCGGGGCUCAACUCCGGAACUGCCUUUAAGACUGCAUCGCUUGAAUCUGGGAGAGGUAAGUGGAAUUCCGAGUGUAGAGGUGAAAUUCGUAGAUAUUCGGAAGAACACCAGUGGCGAAGGCGGCUUACUGGACCAGAAUUGACGCUGAGGUGCGAAAGCGUGGGGAGCAAACAGGAUUAGAUACCCGGGUAGUCC